ACUCCUACGGGAGGCAGCAGUAGGGAAUAUUGGUCAAUGGGCGAAAGCCUGAACCAGCCAUGCCGCGUGUCAGAUGAAGGUCCUCUGGAUUGUAAAUGACUUUUCUACGGGAAGAAUGAGCCGUCUGCGGACGGAAGUUGACGGUACCGUAGGAAUAAGCACCGGCUAACUACGUGCCAGCAGCCGCGGUAAUACGUAGGGUGCAAGCGUUGUCCGGAUUUACUGGGUUUAAAGGGUACGUAGGCGGUUGUGCCAAGUCUGGGGUGAAAGUUUGCAGCUCAACUGUAAAUUGCCUUGGAUACUGGUCGGCUAGAGUAGUGGAGCGGUGGCUGGAAUUUAUAGUGUAGCGGUGAAAUGCUUAGAUACUAUGAGGAACACCAAUUGCGAAGGCAGGUCACUGGUCACUAACUGACGCUGAGGUACGAAAGUGUGGGGAUCAAACAGGAUUAGAUACCCUGGUAGGAUAGCG
rnacentral:rRNA from 1 species